UACGUAGGGUGCGAGCGUUGUCCGGAAUUACUGGGCGUAAAGGGCUCGUAGGUGGUUUGUCGCGUCGUCUGUGAAAUUCCGGGGCUUAACUCCGGGCGUGCAGGCGAUUCGGGCAUAACUUGAGUACUGUAGGGGUAACUGGAAUUCCUGGUGUGGCGGUGAAAUACGCAGAUAUCAGGAGGAACACCGAUGGCGAAGGCAGGUUACUGGGCAGUUACUGACGCUGAGGAGCGAAAGCAUGGGUAGCGAACAGGAUUAGA
rnacentral:rRNA from 1 species